rnacentral:rRNA from 1 species
CGUAUCACCCAAGACAACUUUACACAGUUGACGCCUGACGGAGCGAAGCGACGUCAAAGCGUUUUACAACGUCGAGUUGGCUUAGGGAUACGUUCGUUGGGUAGGGGAGCGUUCUGUAAGCCGUUGAAGGUGUGUCGUGAGGCAUGCUGGAGGUAUCAGAAGUGCGAAUGCUGACAUAAGUAACGAUAAAGCGGGUGAAAAGCCCGCUCGCCGGAAGACCAAGGGUUCCUGUCCAACGUUAAUCGGGGCAGGGUGAGUCGACCCCUAAGGCGAGGCCGAAAGGCGUAGUCGAUGGGAAACGGGUUAAUAUUCCCGUACUUGGUGUUACUGCGAAGGGGGGACGGAGAAGGCUAUGUUGGCCGGGCGACGGUUGUCCCGGUUUAAGCGUGUAGGUGUGUGUUCCAGGUAAAUCCGGUUCACUUUAACACUGAGGCGUGAUGACGAGGCACUACGGUGCUGAAGCAACAAAUGCCCUGCUUCCAGGAAAAGCCUCUAAGCCUCAGGUAACAUCAAAUCGUACCCCAAACCGACACAGGUGGUCAGGUAGAGAAUACCAAGGCGCUUGAGAGAACUCGGGUGAAGGAACUAGGCAAAAUGGUGCCGUAACUUCGGGAGAAGGCACGCUGACACGUAGGUGAAGUGGUUUACCCAUGGAGCUGAAGUCAGUCGAAGAUACCAGCUGGCUGCAACUGUUUAUUAAAAACACAGCACUGUGCAAACACGAAAGUGGACGUAUACGGUGUGACGCCUGCCCGGUGCCGGAAGGUUAAUUGAUGGGGUCAGCGCAAGCGAAGCUCCUGAUCGAAGCCCCGGUAAACGGCGGCCGUAACUAUAACGGUCCUAAGGUAGCGAAAUUCCUUGUCGGGUAAGUUCCGACCUGCACGAAUGGCGUAAUGAUGGCCAGGCUGUCUCCACCCGGGACUCAGUGAAAUUGAACUCGCUGUGAAGAUGCAGUGUACCCGCGGCAAGACGGAAAGACCCCGUGAACCUUUACUAUAGCUUGACACUGAACACUGGUCCUUGAUGUGCAGGAUAGGUGGGAGGCUUUGAAGUGUGGACGCCAGUCUGCAUGGAGCCAUCCUUGAAAUACCACCCUUUAAUGGCUGGUGUUCUAACGUGGGCCCGUGAACCGGGUUGCGGACAGUGUCUGGUGGGUAGUUUGACUGGGGCGGUCUCCUCCUAAAGAGUAACGGAGGAGCACGAAGGUUGGCUAAUCCUGGUCGGACAUCAGGAGGUUAGUGCAAUGGCAUAAGCCAGCUUGACUGCGAGCGUGACGGCGCGAGCAGGUGCGAAAGCAGGUCAUAGUGAUCCGGUGGUUCUGAAUGGAAGGGCCAUCGCUCAACGGAUAAAAGGUACUCCGGGGAUAACAGGCUGAUACCGCCCAAGAGUUCAUAUCGACGGCGGUGUUUGGCACCUCGAUGUCGGCUCAUCACAUCCUGGGGCUGAAGUAGGUCCCAAGGGUAUGGCUGUUCGCCAUUUAAAGUGGUACGCGAGCUGGGUUUAGAACGUCGUGAGACAGUUCGGUCCCUAUCUGCCGUGGGCGCUGGAAGAUUGAGGGGGGCUGCUCCUAGUACGAGAGGACCGGAGUGGACGCAUCACUGGUGUUCGGGUUGUCAUGCCAAUGGCACUGCCCGGUAGCUACAUGCGGAAGAGAUAAGUGCUGAAAGCAUCUAAGCACGAAACUUGCCCCGAGAUGAAUCUUCCCUGAGCCUUUAAGGCUCCUGAAGGAACGUUGAAGACGACGACGUUGAUAGGCCGGGUGUGUAAGCGCAGCGAUGCGUUGAGCUAACCGGUACUAAUGAACCGUGAGGCUUAACCUUACA